rnacentral:lncRNA from 1 species
UAUUUAGCAAGCACAUGCUAGCUAUUCCAGUUUGAACUCUAUCAACCGUAAAUGUUUAGGGAAAUAAAACAUUGAAGAUGCUCCUCGAGGUGAGGAACAAAGAGGAACUAGGCACUCUCUAUAUGGAGAACUUCUGUCUCAAACUAGACAGAAGAGAAGAGUAAUAUCAAAGGCUGACCAGUCCAUUUGAAGACCAAUAUGCAGGGAGGCAGGGCACCAGGAAGAAAGUUAAAAAAAGGACAUUUUAUGGGUCUGACUAGGAAGUGGGUCUAAGGUAGCCACACCAAAGGUGCCUGACUUGUGACUCUGGAGCAAUCUAGUGCCAAAAUAUCUCAGGACAUUUUCAACCCAUUGAAGUGUAUAAAAAUAUUGAAGUUAAUUCAACAAAUUAACACCAAACUUCUAACAGAAGGAAUCUCCUCGGCUCUGAAAUCAGAGACACUCACUUUUCAUCAAUUAUGUGCAGCGUUUGUUAGAGAAAAAAAAGUAACAAAUGUAAAGAUUUGCUUUAUUUCUAUUGGGGGAAGGGAUACGAUAGAUAUAACUGUUAUCCAAUCUGCUGUCCACUGUGUACACACAUACCCACACACAUACAUAUACAUACACACCAAAAGUCCCCCCC